AUGGUAACUCUACUCGGAUAACCGUAGUAAUUCAAAAAGCUAAUACGUGCCACAAGGCGACUUUUGUCGUGGUAUAAAUUGGAGAUACAAACCAAUAUUUGGUUUUCCCCCGAUAUCUUUUCUGAUCGCACUAUGUGCGACGCAUCGUUCAAAUUUCUGACCUAUCAACUUUGGAUGGUAAGGUAUUGUCUUACCAUGGUUGUGACGGGUAACGGACCGUGGGUGCGGGACUCCGGAGAGGGAGCCUGAGAAACGGCUACUUUUUCCAAGGAAGGCAGCAGGCGCGCAAAUUACCCAAUCCGGACACCGGGAGGUAGUGACAAGAAAUAACAA
rnacentral:rRNA from 1 species